AUUGAACGCUGGCGGCAGGCCUAACACAUGCAAGUCGAGCGGAUGAAGGGAGCUUGCUCCUGGAUUCAGCGGCGGACGGGUGAGUAAUGCCUAGGAAUCUGCCUGGUAGUGGGGGAUAACGUCCGGAAACGGGCGCUAAUACCGCAUACGUCCUGAGGGAGAAAGUGGGGGAUCUUCGGACCUCACGCUAUCAGAUGAGCCUAGGUCGGAUUAGCUAGUUGGGGGGGUAAAGGCCUACCAAGGCGACGAUCCGUAACUGGUCUGAGAGGAUGAUCAGUCACACUGGACCUAGACCACGCUCCGACCCCCUACGGAGGGCGGCGGUGGGAAAUAUUGAAAAAGGGGCGAAGACUUGAUCCACCCUUGCCGCUGGUGGAAGAAGGGUCUUCGGAUUUUAAGGCACUUUAGUUGGGAAGAAAGGGAAGAAGGUUAAAACCUGGCUUUUUUGCCGUACCCAAAGAAUUAGGCACCGCCUACUUCGUG
rnacentral:rRNA from 1 species